CAAAAUAUUAUCAUUUCAGUAUAUAAUAAAUAUAUAUUUCAAUGAGAAAUUGUGCAUUUCCUUUUUUUUUCUGCAACAAGUCUUCAAAAUUCAUGUGUAUUUUACACUUACCACACAUCAUUAGCUGAAGAAGGGAAAGGCUACCCACUCCAGUAUUCUGGCCUGGAGAAUUCCUUGGACUAUAUAGUCCAUGGGGUCGCAAAGAGUCGCUCAGCACAACUGAACAACUUUCACACACACAUCAUUAGAGGUUUUGCCAAAAUAAGCACAAGAGAAAUAAUUUCAUGGACUGUAUGAUAAUUUAAGAAUUAUGUUUCUGAGGACUUCCCUGGUGGCUUAGUGGUAAAAAAUCCACCUGCCAAUUCAGGAGACAUGAGUUCUAUCCCUGGUCCAAGAAGAUCCUGUAUGCUGAGGAGCAACUAAGCCCGUAAGCCACAACUAUUGAGCUUACGUACCACAACUACUGAAGCCGGUGUGCCCUAGAGCCCAUGCUCCACAACAAGAAAAACCACUGCAGUGCCCAUGCGCCAUAACUAGGUAUGUGGCAUUUGGUAAAGGGGCCUCCAUUUACACUCUUGUCCCUGGCCCCACUCAUGCUAGGACUGGGCCAGAUGACUGUCUCCACCAUGUGACCAGGUGCAACUGGAGGGGAGAACCUUUAGGCAGCUUAGAAGAAGCCUUCUGUAGCAGUGCUUACCGCUGUGCUUUCUUAUUCCUGAGUAGCUUCUCAUGUUCCCUCUGUGAUUCUCCUCAACCGUUUCCCUUUCAAUGAAUAAAUAUUAUUGACUAAAUAAAUUCACAUAGGUUAUUUUUGCUAUCUGUCAAGCCUUUCACAUAUAUAUCUACUUGAUAUACAGUAAGCACCAUGAGGAAGGAAACAGCAGAUAAGGAAACAGGCUGAGAAAGAUUAGGUGACCUGAGUGUAACAGUUAGUAACCAGGGCUUCUCAUUCCAAGUUGUUAUUUUUUCUAUUUCGUUUUGUUGCGAUUCCAUACAAGGCUCUGUGCUAGGCCCUAGAAGAUGUAGCCAUGGGCAGUCAACUCUUUUUGCCUCAAUCUUAUGCUUCAUUCCCUGGAGAAAGAAAUGGCCUGUGUUGAUGAAAAAUAGAAUAUGUGGCAAAGGACAGGCCUGUUUUGAUGAGCCCUUAGAUGUCAACUUUGAGAUUCUGUAUUUUAUUCUGGUGAUAGUGUGAAUCCCUGAAGAGUUUGCAUACAAGAAAAAGGCCUGCUGGGAGCUCUGCAUUAAAAAGAGGAAAAGUCAGGGACUUCCCUGUUGAUCCAGUGGUUAAGAAUCCCAGUGCCAACACAGGGGACACAGGUUCAGGUAAGCCUGUGCGUCACAAAUGUUGAGCCCAUGUUCUAGAGAAAGCCCGUAUGCAGCAAUGAAGACCCAGUGCAGCCAUAAAUAAAUAAAGAGUGCUUUAAAAAGUAGUAUAUAAAUACUCAAUUUGUGUGUGUGUGUGUGGUGAGUCAUGUCCGACUCUUUGUGACCCCAUGAACUGUAGCUCGCCAGGCUCCUCUGUCCUUUUCCAGGCAAGAAUACUGGAGUGGGUUGCCAUUUCAUACCCCAGGGGAUCUUCCCAACCCAAGGAUCAAACCCAAGUCUCUUGCAUCUCCUGCAUGGGCAGGUGGAUUCUUUACCACUGCGGGACCUGGGAAAAUAGUAGAAUAUUUUUUUUAAAAAAUAGGAAAAGCCAGGAGCAUGGAAACCAGAUAAAAGUCUUUUUAACAGUCCAAGAGAGACUCAGCCAGGGUGGAGGCAGGAAUGAAAAUCAAGAGACAUCUGUGGGACACAGCGUGGCUGUAGAAUCUGUAGAAACUGACCACUGAUUGGCCGUGGAAGGUCAGGGGCAUGGGUAAAGUCAAACAAACCAUACUUUUUAUCUUGGAAAGAGUGUUUUUGUUCACAUAAGCAUUGCAGUCACAAGGAUAAGGUGGUCAAGAGGGGUAAGGCAGGAGCAGGUGGGAGUGAUGGAAAGUUAGAGAAGUGUUUUCUUGGAUUAUAUUGAGAUACUGUGGGACAUCCAGGUACAAAUAACUGGCCAGUUGUUGCUCAAAUCAGUUCUGUAGCUCAAGAGAGAGUUUUCGACUGGGGGUAGGAUUUAAGAGACUUUUGUGCUAUAAGAGACUUUUGAGACAUUGGAGUUAUG
ensembl:lncRNA